rnacentral:rRNA from 1 species
UCACUGAAGUUUUAAGAGCCGCAGUAUUUUGACUGUGCUAAGGUAGCAUAAUCAUUUGUUAUUUAAUUGAUAACUUGUAUGAAGGGCCUAACGAGGAAAUAACUUUCUAUUUUAUCAAUAAUAAAAAUUAUACGAAAGUAAAAAAGCUUUCGUCACCCAAAAAGACGAUAAGACCCUAGAACCUUUAUUAAAAUUAAUUUUACUGGGGCGGUACAACCAUAAACAGAUUAUUUUAAGAACCUUUUGAGUGAAAUUUUUAAACUUUUUUUAAAAAAAAAAAGGUACUCUAGGGAUAACAGCAUAAUCCCUCUUCAGAGACCUAAUCGACAGAGGGGAUUUUGACCUCGAUGUUGAAUUGAAUUCCCUUUUCCAAAGCAAAAUUUGUUUAAGAAGGUCUGUUCGACCUUUGAU